rnacentral:rRNA from 1 species
CCCUUAGAUGUUCUGGGCUGCACGCGCGCUACACUGAUGCGCUCAACGAGUUUUAACCUUGCCUGGAAAGGCUGGGUAAUCUUUUUAAAACGCAUCGUGAUGGGGAUAGAUUAUUGCAAUUAUUAAUCUUCAACGAGGAAUUCCUAGUAAGCGCGAGUCAUCAGCUCGCAUCGAUUAAGUCCCUGCCCUUUGUACACACCGCCCGUCGCUACUACCGAUUGAACGUUUUAGUGAGGCAUUUGGACCGACGCAUCUCAGUUUAACCGCUGGUUUGUGUUGGAAAGACUUCCAAACUUGAGCGUUUAGAGGAAGUAAAAGUCGUAACA